UUUUCUCGGAUUUUUCGGAGCUCAAUUAUUAAUUUUAAUCAUACAAAGAGAAGUUCAGCAAUUAUUUAAAUAUUAAAUUAAUCAUUAAAUGGUCUGAUUAUAAUUUUGUUAAGUACUUUGAGUGUCCAAGUAUUUUCAGGAUUUUUCUUGAAAUUAUUUGAGUAUUGGAAGUAUUUUUAACAAUUCAAAGAUCAUUUCAGUGAUUAUUUUAAUUGGAAAAAGUUUUUAAAUCCUUCCCUAAGUCGUUGGGCCGAUUUCGGCCCAACUCUUUCUCUCUCCGCGCGGCCGAACCGGCCCAAUCGGCCCAGCAGCCGCCCCCUCCUCUCUCUCUGUCAAAGUCUGUUUUGCCUCCCUCCUUCAAUCGGGCCGAGGAAAUGAAGCCCAGCCGGAAAAGUCUACUUUUCCUCCCUCUGCUACUGUUCAUCUUCCAGCUCUGGACAGAGCCCGAGCUGCCACCUUACGCCGCCUUCCGCCUCCAAAUCCGCUCCAAUCCGACCCCGUUUCUUCCGGAUUUUUGAGGGGUUUUGAUCCUCUCAUCCUCCUCUAUCUUUUCCCCCAAGAAUCGGAGCAAAUCGUUGGGUAUUUUAUCCGAAUCAAACUCGUUUUCGAGUUUAUCUCCAAAACCGAGUUUUGAUUUUCCCGGAGCGAUUUCUUGCGGGAGGAGUCCGAUCUCUUCAAUCCAAGGCUAUAAAUAGGACCCCCUAGUCCUCCUCUUUCGUUUGCCCCCUCUCCCGUCCUCUCCCGUGACCCGUGGAGCCGUCGCCACCGUGCAAGCCGCCGCCGCCGUCGCUUCUUCGUCGCCGGCCGUCAUCCGUCGUCGUUCGGCACUUCGGUGAGCACCAUCGGGUUCGUCUCGUCGUCCUCUACGUGUACAUGCCCUCCAAAUCCGCAGCCAGCCGCUCUAUCUCCGGCGAGGUCGCCAUCUUGGUUCGGCCAUGGGUGAUGUCAGCAUGACGUCAUCGGUUUUUCUUUUUCUCGUUUUUCUAAUAGAUUAAAUCUUCGGAAAAUCAUAACUAAAUAACCGUAGAUCCGUUUCAGGUGGUUCAAGUUGCUAAAUUUUUCUAAAAUCAAGAUCUACAUGUUAAAAAUAUCCACAUGUACUGUUUAUGCUUGUUUUUGUACUGUUUUGUUGAUUUUAGUCUUUUUGCUUUAGUUUCCGACGUUCCGGAGGAGAGCGUUUUCGUUGAGCAAGGUUCGGAAGUGUUUGCGGAAGCCCAAGGCAAGUCACACAGAUCCCAAAUAACCCUUUGAACAUGUUGAACCCGUUUAAAGCUAUUAUUUUAUUUCAACUAUGCAUUAUUUUUGAAUGUCAUCGGGUGGUGAACCUUUCCCCGUUAAUUAAUGGCCGAAGAUGAUCUUAUUUUCCUAUGGGUUAUAAUUUGAUUAGCAUGAAC
rnacentral:lncRNA from 1 species